rnacentral:rRNA from 1 species
CAGAGGGUGCAAGCGUUGUUCGGAAUUAUUGGGCGUAAAGCGCGUGUAGGCAGCUUAGCAAGUCGGGCGUGAAAGCCCUCGGCUCAACCGAGGAAGUGCACCCGAAACUGCUGAGCUUGAGUGCCGGAGAGGAUGGCGGAAUUCCCCAAGUAGAGGUGAAAUUCGUAGAUAUGGGGAGGAACACCGGUGGCGAAGGCGGCCAUCUGGACGGUAACUGACGCUGAGACGCGAAAGCGUGGGGAGCAAACAGGAUUAGAUACCCUGGUAGUCCACGCCGUAAACGAUGAGAACUAGAUGUCGCGGGUGUUGACCCCUGCGGUGUCGCAGCUAACGCAUUAAGUUCUCCGCCUGGGAAGUACGGUCGCAAGAUUA